GAUGAACGCUGGCGGCGUGCCUAAUACAUGCAAGUCGAGCGAAUGGAUUGAGAGCUUGCUCUCAAGAAGUUAGCGGCGGACGGGUGAGUAACACGUGGGUAACCUGCCCAUAAGACUGGGAUAACUCCGGGAAACCGGGGCGUAAUACCGGAUAACAUUUUGUAACUGCAUGGUUCGAAAUUGAAAGGCGGCUUCGGCCGUCACUUAUGGAUGGACCCGCGUCGCAUUAGCUAGUUGGUGAGGUAACGGCUCACCAAGGCAACGAUGCGUAGCCGACCUGAGAGGGUGAUCGGCCACACUGGGACUGAGACACGGCCCAGACUCCUACGGGAGGCAGCAGUAGGGAAUCUUCCGCAAUGGACGAAAGUCUGACGGAGCAACGCCGCGUGAGUGAUGAAGGCUUUCGGGUCGUAAAACUCUGUUGUUAGGGAAGAACAAGUGCUAGUUGAAUAAGCUGGCACCUUGACGGUACCUAACCAGAAAGCCACGGCUAACUACGUGCC
rnacentral:rRNA from 1 species